rnacentral:rRNA from 1 species
UACGUAGGGGGCUAGCGUUAUCCGGAAUUACUGGGCGUAAAGGGUGCGUAGGCGGCUUUCUAAUCGGAUGUGAAAACUCUGGGCUCAACCCAGAGCCUGCAUCCGAAACUGGAGAGCUAGGGUUCUGGAGGGGAAAGCGGAAUUCCUGGUGUAGCGGUGAAAUGCGUAGAUAUCAGGAGGAACACCGGUGGCGAAGGCGGCUUUCUGGACAGAUACCGACGCUGAGGCACGAAAGCGUGGGGAGCAAACAGG